CCCUCUCUAACUCGCUUGGAUUAGUAAGUUGCAACACACUGAGUAUCAAUAAUCAGUACGUUGCUUUUCGUUUCUUGUAAAUGAUGUUGCGUCUAGCUUGUCUAGCUUUUUUUGUCCUUUUUCUAGCUAUUGUGACAGCAGAAGUUGAAGAAGUUGAGGAUACAGAUAGCCAAGAAUUAAAUAAACUUACCGACGGGGAUUUAGCUGAAAUUGUGAAACGGCAAGGAUGGAAUAGAAAGCAUAGAAAAAGUAAGAAAGACAAAGGCAGCAAGGUAAUAA